rnacentral:rRNA from 1 species
AGAGUUUGAUCAUGGCUCAGGAUGAACGCUAGCUACAGGCUUAACACAUGCAAGUCGAGGGGAAACGACAUCGAAAGCUUGCUUUUGAUGGGCGUCGACCGGCGCACGGGUGAGUAACGCGUAUGCAACCUGCCCUUCACAGGGGGAUAACCGGGAGAAAUUCCGACUAAUACCGCAUACGUCCCCUGGGGGCAUCCCCUGGGGAUGAAAGAAUUAUCGGUGAAGGAUGGGCAUGCGUGAUAUUAGGUAGUUGGCGGGGCAACGGCCACCAAGCCACGAUAUCUAGGGGUUCUGAGAGGAACGGUCCCCCACAUUGGUACUGAGACACGGACCAAACUCCUACGGGAGGCA